UUUCAUUUCUAAAGUUACUUUAUAAAACAAUUAUGUUUGUUUCCAUUAUAUCUGUAACAAAUGUUGGAAUUUAUAUAUUGAAAAAUUAUCCACUGAUUCUCGAUUAAAAUAGGAAGUUUAACGCGUUUACGAUUGGAGAAGAAAUGAAGUUACAAACCGAUUUCUUCAAAAUCUAGUAUUAAGAACAAAUGUCAUCUAAGAGUGCGCUGAAAGUUAUUUAAAUGUUGCAUUUGCGUAUAUUGGUAAUACGGGUGCUCCCGAUUUAAUGUGUUUCGUGUAAUAAAACACUAGCGAACAGUUCUUUGGUCCCGGUUAACUUGGUAGACACUUGGAACGAAACACGCCGUUUACGAAGGAAAAUCCUGCCCUACCCGACAGUCUCGCCAAUACAUAAAAGAAUUGUUUUGUCAGAAAAGUAAAAGGCUGGAAUUACAAGGGAGAGCUUCAAAGUUCGGAGGAAUACUAUCCGAUCGGUGUAUACCGGCUUGAGCGUCGAUGUCGACGUUUUCCACAUUCCGAAUUGUUGCCGGAAGACGAGGGAAGACCAAUCGCUAUUCAUUAUUUUACGUCGCUUCUUCUCGUGUUCGUUGUCCGAUCUGUUCGUUAUCCGAUCCGUUCGCUAACCGAUCACCCACUGUAUAUACUGUACUGUACAUUUGUUAAUGAGACGGCGCGACUGGAUACAGAUUCAGAAAACAUCGAAGCCAUUAAGAAGGUAAUUUUACCUCAUAUAUACGCUAGUUUAUUUUGCUAUUUUUGUGUUUUGCUUUAAAUAAUUAACAUUUGAGAAUAAAUAUUUGGUUUUUCUUAACGCUUAGAUUUUCUUAUUUAUUUUAUUUCUACCUUCGUGUACUGUACAAAACGGACAAGGUGUUCGAAUUUAUCGAGUGUUCCAUCGUAGGAAAAGUUUGCGAAACGCCGAUAUAGACUGCCUCCGUUCCUCAAACUCCACACGUAAGUAAUCGACAGUCCCCUAACAAAUCGGUGACGGACACUAAAAAUUGAUACUUGUGUUUGUAUUUGUGUAAAAUCAACCCCUUCCGCCCUGGUAAACAGUCCUCAAACGCCAAUGGCAUACAUAGCCUAUAUAUGUAUAAUGUGUGUGUGGGUGGAUGUAUUAAUAUAUAAAAAGAAGAUAGAUUGGAUAAUAUAAAAUUAAGUACAGUAUAGGAAAACUAGAAUAUAUUAAAGUAUAAAUAUUUAAAAGAGAAAAUGAAUUUAGUUACUUGGAAAUUAUAACAGAUAGAAAGGUGGAUUAUUUUGUUAUAAAAUUUCCUAGGCAUUAGCCUAGUUGCGGUUUAAAUUUAUUGCAUCGACGUUAGAGCCAAGGGUUUAAUUAUUUGCCGAUAUACUGUAUUAAAAAGCUGGAAAUUAAUCUCGAGCCUUUUUUAAUAUUUAUUCAUCGAAACGAUGGCCUUAAUUAUGCGAGAUAAAGUCAAGACUGGUCUUAAGUAACAAACGGUAACGGAUAUUCGAUUGUUAAUGAAUUCUUCCGACGAAAUGUUUUAGUAAAAAUAAUUAAUAAUUCAUAAGAAAAUAAUUCCAAUUCUGCUCGGUGUAAAGGAUAAAUUUCUAACGAAUCUUAUCGUUACGUCGAGAUAAUAAUUAAUAAAAUGCAAUGGAAAUUUGUAAUUUAUUACUUUCCGAUACGGCCCCGAACACGUAAUUUUAUGUAUUUUAAUUGGGAAACAUAAUUUACGUUUAUUAUUUUCUUGGAAGUAAGGUUUUUAAAGGCGAUAUUACUAUAUGCAAAAACGUUUGGAUAAAGCGACAACUUAAAUACUCGACGAUAUUAUUAGUAAUAGCCUUAUUACGAGACAGAAUUUGAUGGGGAAGAGAGCCGGUCUGGUGUCACAACCAGCAAUUUGAGUAGAUUUAGGCCCAUACGUCACAGUGUCAGUACCAUUGGUGGGAUACGCAAUCCCACUAAAUGAUCAUAUAUUACCGUAAAAACUGUGUUUAAAUAUCUCGUUCCUUUAAGAAAACUUAAUUUACAAAGUGGUCGAGUUGGCAAUUAAAUGUUUGAGUAAUCCUCGGCAUAAAUUGUCAAAUAAAAAUUUCAAAAAGUGCGACUUUGGCUUUCGUCUAAUUAACAUAACCCGAAAUUUGAAAAAGAAAUUGUCGUCUUUUGUUUUUGCCCGAAACAAAAUUGAAGAAGGAGUUUAUCCUUUUUUAAAAAACAAAUGUAAAAAGUUUCUGCUUUGGCACUAAUCCUCUUUAAUAUUUAUAUAUUUUAUUAAAAAUAUAAAAUGUAUAAACUCGUACGAUCGAAACGUGUGAUCAUAAUUUAUUUUCGCCAGGAAAAUAUACGUGUAUCGUAAUUAAUAAUAAGGUUAGAAUAGGGAAAUUUCUGUCGAAAUUAAUAAGGAAAUUUACGCCGAAAUGAUAACAUUUUUAACUCAUAAAUUUAAAUUUCGAAACUGUUAUCCUUGAGCCUUUCGUUAUAUUUUCGGCCAUCGUCAUAUACGACUGUCACGUCUUUUGUUUUGACAAUACAUUAUCUGGUUGGAUAUCCGUCCAUCCGCGGUAUCCUGUUUUCUUACUUCUAUCCCAAGAAUAGCCAAAGUAAAAGAUAAGCGCAUCCAUUAUAUACUUUGACAUCUAUUUUAUUUCCUCUAAGGAAUACGCAGAAAAAUUAAAAUAUAACAUAAUUAAAAGUACCAAAAAAAUAUUUAAAGGGCCCGCCGGUGCACAUAUAAGCUAAUGAAGCUAGGGCUUAGGGCCUCGUUUUAUUCUCAAAGCAGUUUAUUCGGCCGAGAAGGAGGAGUUUCUUGCGCGUUGUCGGCAUAGGGCCGUAACAAUUCUAAAUUCGGCUCUGGAUCCACCAUUAUUAUAUGAUAUUGUUAGGAAUUUUUAUUUAGUUUCGGCACAACCGGGGAUAAGAUAAUGGCCUUAGCUUUGAUUAAGCGAAGGAGGCCUCGAUUUAUGCUGGCUUUUUGUCAUAAAGACAUUGAGGAAUGCGAAACUUAUCAUUUUAAAAAGAUCUCAUUAUACGCCGAGAGGGGUUAAGUUUUGCGUUACAAUUUGGGUAGGCGCACGAGCUUAUUAUAAAGAUAAAUUUAAUGCAUCAACGUACUGGACGGAUGCUUUUAAAGAAAUAUUUAAUAAUAAUCUAUUUACGAUCCAAUUUUCUUGGCAAUCGUCAUCGUUUCUGCCAAUCCGCACGCCGAUGAAUAGAAAAAAACACGUUCAAAUAUUGUAAAAUAUUAAGAAGGACAUUGACCAGGCUUCUUCGACUCCAUUUACGACCCCCAUUUACGUGUAAUUACGUAACCAACGUCUUCAGAAUUUAACAGGAAAUUUAAAAAAUGCAAAAAAUUCUUUCUUAACUCGAUUUUCGAAUUGCAUUUUCACCGUGACACCAACAUACUUAAGCCAGGUACCGUUGGAAUUUUGCUGCUUUCCUCGUCAA
rnacentral:lncRNA from 1 species